GUGGGAACUUCCAGCUCCUAAACACAAAAAGGGGAUCCUAAAAAAGAUCUUCGGAUUCCUUAAGUGACCUAUCUGGAUGUCACUAGUGGAUGCGACCCACUUUAAAAAGCGUGCGAAUCUUUAUUGACUUAAGAAUUUGGAACCAGAUUACCUCUUUCGUUUUCACUGCUGCAAGUAAACUUUUGGCCAAAAUAUCAAAAUCUUUUGCAGCAUCUAAAUUUGCUGGUUCCUAGUCUUAAAAAGAAAUAGCAACAACUCUCAAAGAUAACAAAA